GUGAUUAAAUCGAGCGUGUCUUCAUUGACCGCUCACCCUUCUCACCAUCCACAUACACCUGUGCACUGUUUAGGCCUGAGCCGGUUUUCUGGUCCAGGUUAUCAUUCAUACAAACUCUAGUCUUAUGAAUGUAAACGUUUUAAUAACAUAAUA
rnacentral:misc_RNA from 1 species